ensembl:snRNA U1 U1 spliceosomal RNA
AUACUUACCUGCUAGGGGACAUACCAUGAUCACGAAGGUGGUUUUCUCAGGGUGAGGCUUAUCCGUUGCACUCACAGAUACCUAGAAAUUCAGUGAAGAAACCAUUUUGGGGUGAUGUUUCUGGUUAAAAAUCAUAGAUAUUUGGGGGUCUGACAUAUGGCAGGCUGCCA